UGAUAAACUGGAGGAGAAGAGAGAGGGGGCAAGCUGGAAAAGAUGUGCAUGAAUGCCCAGAAAACACAACCAUGGGAAGCACAGCCAAGAGCAAGAGCACAAGUUCCACAAACUGCCACCUGCUUUUCCAGGUGGGGAAGGAGAGAAUGAGCACCAAGAUGGCUAUUCAGAAAUCAAGAAGUCAAAAUUCUCCUAGUGAAAUUCAGAAGAGCAGCCCAAAAAGAAUCUUUCCAGACCAAAUAGCAUUUGAAGUUGGUACAAUGUAGAGACUUUUCUAGAGCCCAUCUAGGCAGCAUCAACCCUGGGAAAAGGGCCAUUGGUCUAUUCUUUCAAGAAGCAAUGUAUGAGGACUUAGAAGGGCACUUCUUGAACUUCCAUGUGCGUCUGACUCAACAGAGGACUUUGUUAAACUGUGAAGGAUUCUGAUUCUCAGGCUUGGUGAAGGAGGUUGAGACUUUGCAAUUCUGACAGUUUAACAAAUGAUGCAAAAGUU